UACCAUGUACCCUGUAGGUUUGCUCUACCACAAAACCUUCCCAGCAUCUACAUCUGCCACCGAUGGAAUAUCUGAGCUGCUGAAUACAUGGAUAAUAACCAAAGGGUAUGCCAUGUAGAUUUGCUCCUCCCCACCAGCAUCUGCCACUGAUCAGAAAAGAGACAAAUAAUUAAGGCUGUUGUGAAAUUCACCAACUGAAAUCCCGCUUUUAAUGCUGGUGCCCUUGGUCAGCUUUUGAUCAGGUGCCCUCUUUAUACAGUAACACGUGAGAUACUUUCAUUGGAAGAAGUAAAAUAAGGAUAACACUUUGCUCCUGUGCAGAACUGUUCUUCAAAGUCAUUUGUCGUUCUGUUUCCUUUAUCCUUCCCCUGCAUGAAAGCAACUAUCCCUCAAGCUGUCACAGCCAGCUAUAUGAAAGUUAAACAAGAUGGUGCUCCAUCCUCCUAACUGGCCAUUAGGCUACUGCGACAGUGGCCGGAGCCCUGGACCCUUUAAAUUGCUGCCAGAGCCCCGGGCAGUGUGGAAGGGCUGGCUGGAAAGGCUCACCCCCAGCUCAUCCCUUUUACCCGAGGCUCUGCCCCUUCUGCCUGAGGCCCUGCCCCUUCCAGGGGCCCAUAGCCGGGCCCC